rfam:Acanthamoeba castellanii str. Neff unplaced genomic scaffold scf7180000084651, whole genome shotgun sequence.
GCUGGCCUAGCUCAGUUGGUAGAGCGCGAGACUUUAACACUCGAGGUCGUGGGUUCGAGCCCUACGGUCGGCC